rnacentral:rRNA from 1 species
AGUGAACGCUGGCGGUAGGCCUAACACAUGCAGGUCGAACGGCAGCACAGUAAGAGCUUGCUCUUACGGGUGGCGAGUGGCGGACGGGUGAGGAAUACAUCGGAAUCUACUUUUUCGUGGGGGAUAACGUAGGGAAACUUACGCUAAUACCGCAUACGACCUACGGGUGAAAGCAGGGGAUCUUCGGACCUUGCGCGAUUGAAUGAGCCGAUGUCGGAUUAGCUAGUUGGCGGGGUAAAGGCCCACCAAGGCGACGAUCCGUAGCUGGUCUGAGAGGAUGAUCAGCCACACUGGAACUGAGACACGGUCCAGACUCCUACGGGAGGCAGCAGUGGGGAAUAUUGGACAAUGGGCGCAAGCCUGAUCCAGCCAUACCGCGUGGGUGAAGAAGGCCUUCGGGUUGUAAAGCCCUUUUGUUGGGAAAGAAAAGUAGCAGGUUAAUACCCCGCUGUUCUGACGGUACCCAAAGAAUAAGCACCGGCUAACUUCGUG